rnacentral:tRNA from 1 species
GCCAGUUUGGCUCAGUGGAUAGAGCGUCCGCCUGCGGAGUGAGGGGUCCCGGGUUCGAUUCCCGGUCAGGGCA